rnacentral:rRNA from 1 species
UACGUAGGAUGCAAGCGUUGUCCGGAAUUACUGGGCGUAAAGGGCGUGCAGGCGGACUGCCAAGUCAGAUGUGAAAGCCCCCGGCUUAACCGGGGAGGGUCAUUUGAAACUGGCAGACUAGAGGUCAUCAGAGGAAGAUGGAAUUCCCGGUGUAGUGGUGAAAUGCGUAGAUAUCGGGAGGAAUACCAGUGGCGAAGGCGGUCUUCUGGGGUGAUGCUGACGCUGAGGCGCGAAGGCUAGGGUAGCAAAC